UGUAACGAUUGAGGCGGGCUGUCAUGGAAGUUGUCAAAGUGACAGUCCAAACGGUACGAAAUAACGGAACAGCACAUCAUACAAGUUUCAUUCGCAUUCUAAAAGCCACAAGCACAUGUAGUGAAUUAAAAGAGUGAACUAUAUUAAAACUUAUAUUUCUAAAGUAAAACUAUUGAGACUUACAGCUAGUAAAACUUAAGUCUAUACUAAAGUUAUAUAGGCAUAAAAGUUAUUCCGCGUGUGAAUGCCUAUAUUAAGGUUAGGAUAGGGCGCUGUUCCAUCCAUGCAACCGAUUUUUCAAAAGCUACAUUACAACUAAACGGAAUUUCGUAAUUUGCUCGACGAAAUCGAACAAAGGAUCGCGCCUAACCUAACUACCGCAACAUUCUUUUGAAAAAUCGACCGCAGUUGACCUCGUCGA